AGAAUCUCUCUACCGUCAAUUUUUUUCUCUUCUUAGCUCUGUGUCGAUGAAACUGAGAAACAUGACAUGAAUCGAAACUGAGAAACAUGACAUGAAUCGAAAUUGAGAAACAACAAUCUUGUGGGUCUCUUCGUUUUCUUCACUAAGAGAAGGCUGCUUUGGUGCAAGGGUUCGUUUUUGCUGUGACCUGUGAGCGUAUGUGCUGUGAGCCUGUGAGCCCGUGAGCGUCCUAAAUCCUAUUACUUCAAGUCUUCAAAUAACAAGAAGAUGAAGAAAGGGGUUGGUUUGAGAUUAGAGGAGGAUGAUGAAGUUGGUUUCUAUCUUGUUUUUCUAUGGUUCAGUUUUUUUACAAAGUAAACUUUAUGUAUUUUUAGGUUCUCUAUGGUGUAGUCUUUCACUUUCUAAGUUUCAGAUUUUAUUUUUAACAAAAAAAAAGUUUCAGAU